rnacentral:rRNA from 1 species
UACGUAGGGACCAAGCGUUGUUCGGAUUUACUGGGCGUAAAGGGCGCGUAGGCGGCAAUUCAAGUCACUUGUGAAAUCUCCGAGCUUAACUCGGAACGGUCAAGUGAUACUGCUUUGCUAGAGUGCAGAAGGGGCAACCGGAAUUCUUGGUGUAGCGGUGAAAUGCGUAGAUAUCAAGAGGAACACCGGAGGUGAAGACGGGUUGCUGGGCUGACACGUGACGCUGAGGCGCGAAAGCUAGGGUAGCAAACGGG